rnacentral:rRNA from 1 species
UACGGGGGGGGCAAGCGUUGUUCGGAAUUACUGGGCGUAAAGGGCUCGUAGGUGGCCAACUAAGUCAGACGUGAAAUCCCUCGGCUUAACCGGGGAACUGCGUCUGAUACUGGAUGACUUGAGUUCGGGAGAGGGAUGCGGAAUUCCAGGUGUAGCGGUGAAAUGCGUAGAUAUCUGGAGGAACACCGGUGGCGAAGGCGGCAUCCUGGACCGACACUGACGCUGAGGAGCGAAAGCCAGGGGAGCAAACGGG